rnacentral:lncRNA from 1 species
AUGGACAUUUACUUUAAGGGAGCUGCAGUAGAUGCACCCACCCACCAGUUGACAGCAGUGGGUCCGAUUCAUACACACAUGCCUUGCUGCUCUUGCUGCAGUGCAAAUGACGACGUCUCCACGAUGGGACAAGCCGUGCUUUCUGUGCAUUGGGUUUGCCAGCAGAGCCUCACUGAUGGUUCUCUUUCUGUUGUUCCUUUAGAGCUGUGGAAUGCUGUGACCAGUCCCAGUGCCCCGCAGCCCAAGGCACGUCGCCGUCCAGAUCAUCUCCAUCCAAAGGAAGUUUGUUCACAAAAGCCUAGGAAAUGCAUUGUAGCUGUGUCUCAUCAUAUGGGUGUCAGUGAAAAGCUCUUUGGCCUUGACAUCUUUUUGGAGUCAUGCAUAGCCUUUGGGAACGCGUUCGUAGGGUCUGGCAUCCAGCAGACCUGCAGUGAGCAGGCAUCAUGGCUUAUGCAUAGAGAGCAAAGCGAUGCGGUUACGUCGAUUUUUAUACACACCUGGCUUUUGAGUCAUGGAUUUCAAAACCACAAAUGGGGAUGUGCAUUUCCUGAAGAGAGGAAGAAAGAAACGCCUCAAACACCAUCCAAACAAGUGCAGUGUGCUGAUGAGAAUAUGCCUAGGGGCCUUGCUGGUGAGGUGAUGGCAGGAGGUCUGCUUGAGCUCUGCUUGCCAUUCAUGCUGGGGAAAUACAGAAGUGCUCUCAGGCCCUGAAGGCUUUUGCCUGGGAGGUUGCAGCACGAGCUCCCCAGUCCCUGCAGUGCUUCCCCAUAGCACUCGUUCCACAUUUCUGCUCCAACUAAAGCCAUGCUGGAAGUGAUGGAUCUUCCUUCAUUCCUUCAGAUGUAUAAUUUACCAUCUCUUACCAGCGUGCCAGCCUUGUUUGUAUUGAUAAAUUAGUGUUCUCUGUGUACAGCCUGCAGAUGAUUCUGCUUCCCGAGUACGGUGCUGCUAAAUAUACCUGUUUCUGAUUAAGUGCAUUUGAAUGUGUGAGUUUGGUUAAUAAGAUACACCUUUCACAGAUUCCUUUGUUAGCUCGUAAAGGCUGCGUGUUCUGAUUUAUAGUGCCAAAAGGGGUAAAACUGAUAUUAAAAGCAUUAAUUAGUCUUGGUUGGCUGCACAAAGAAUAGAGUUGGUGUGAGCCAGCUUUUGAUUUUUGAUUUGUGGGCCCUUGGUUUUGCCUAAGCUUGUUACAGAGUUGUAUCUCUGCCUUUUUCGUGCUAGAUUGCAUAAUUAGAGUUUAGUGUGAAGAACAGUGAUUGGGCUUGAAGAGAGCACGAGCCCUGUGCAGUUAUAAGCAAUGAAGUUGUAAAGCAGUUGGAUGGAACCUGACAUAUGCUUUUAAUAGAGAAAUGUUCUUUUUAACCCGUGGAUAUGAUAAAUUAUUUAGCAUUGUUAGAUUUCCAGUAACAACCCAGAGGAUUUAUUGUGCCUUGGUGCAAUACAUGUACUGUUGGUAAAGCUUAGAAAUGAUGUAAAAUCAUGCAAUUAUAGAGUCAUUAGGGUUCAAAAAGAUUACUAAGGCCAUCUAGUCCAACCUAUCAAUCCAUCCCCACUAUAAUCAUUGAAAGGAAAAGGAGGGAAGGGAAGGGAAGGGAAGGGAAGGGAAGGGAAG